rnacentral:rRNA from 1 species
AUUGGACGCUGGCGGCAUGCCUUACACAUGCAAGUCGAACGGUAACAGGUCUUCGGAUGCUGACGAGUGGCGAACGGGUGAGUAAUACAUCGGAACGUGCACGAUCGUGGGGGAUAACGAAGCGAAAGCUUUGCUAAUACCGCAUACGAUCUAAGGAUGAAAGCAGGGGACCGCAAGGCCUUGCGCGAACGGAGCGGCCGAUGGCAGAUUAGGUAGUUGGUGGGAUAAAAGCUUACCAAGCCGACGAUCUGUAGCUGGUCUGAGAGGACGAUCAGCCACACUGGGACUGAGACACGGCCCAGACUCCUACGGGAGGCAGCAGUGGGGAAUUUUGGACAAUGGGCGCAAGCCUGAUCCAGCAAUGCCGCGUGCAGGAUGAAGGCCUUCGGGUUGUAAACUGCUUUUGUGCGGAACGAAAAGCCCUGGGUUAAUACCCUGGGGUCAUGACGGUACCGUAAGAAUAAGCACCGGCUAACUACGUGCCAGCAGCCGCAGUAA